rnacentral:rRNA from 1 species
UACGUAGGUGGCAAGCGUUGUCCGGAAUUAUUGGGCGUAAAGCGCGCGCAGGCGGUCCUUUAAGUCUGAUGUGAAAGCCCACGGCUCAACCGUGGAAGGUCAUUGGAAACUGGAGGACUUGAGUACAGAAGAGGAAAGCGGAAUUCCACGUGUAGCGGUGAAAUGCGUAGAGAUGUGGAGGAACACCAGUGGCGAAGGCGGCUUUCUGGUCUGUAACUGACGCUGAGGCGCGAAAGCGUGGGGAUCAAACAGG